rnacentral:rRNA from 1 species
UAGGGAAUCUUCGGCAAUGGGGGGAACCCUGACCGAGCAACGCCGCGUGAGUGAAGAAGGUUUUCGGAUCGUAAAGCUCUGUUGUUAAGGAAGAACGAGUGUGAGAAUGGAAAGUUCAUACUGUGACGGUACUUAACCAGAAAGGGACGGCUAACUACGUGCCAGCAGCCGCGGUAAUACGUAGGUCCCGAGCGUUGUCCGGAUUUAUUGGGCGUAAAGCAAGCGCAGGCGGUUAGAUAAGUCUGAAGUUAAAGGCAGUGGCUCAACCAUUGUAGGCUUUGGAAACUGUUUAACUUGAGUGCAGAAGGGGAGAGUGGAAUUCCAUGUGUAGCGGUGAAAUGCGUAGAUAUAUGGAGGAACACCGGUGGCGAAAGCGGCUCUCUGGUCUGUAACUGACGCUGAGGCUCGAAAGCGUGGGGAGCGAACAGGAUUAGAUACCCUGGUAGUCCACGCCGUAAACGAUGAGUGCUAGGUGUUAGGUCCUUUCCGGGACUUAGUGCCGCAGCUAACGCAUUAAGCACUCCGCCUGGGGAGUACGACCGCAAGGUU